GACGAACGCUGGCGGCGUGCUUAACACAUGCAAGUCGAACGGAAAGGCCCUGCUUUUGUGGGGUGCUCGAGUGGCGAACGGGUGAGUAACACGUGAGUAACCUGCCCUUGACUUUGGGAUAACUUCAGGAAACUGGGGCUAAUACCGGAUAGGAGCUCCUGCUGCAUGGUGGGGGUUGGAAAGUUUCGGCGGUUGGGGAUGGACUCGCGGCUUAUCAGCUUGUUGGUGGGGUAGUGGCUUACCAAGGCUUUGACGGGUAGCCGGCCUGAGAGGGUGACCGGCCACAUUGGGACUGAGAUACGGCCCAGACUCCUGCGGGAGGCAGCAGUGGGGAAGAUUGCACAAUGGGCGGAAGCCUGAUGCAGCAGCGCCGCGUGCGGGAUGACGGCCUUCGGGUUGUAAACCGCUUUCGCCUGUGACGAAGCGUGAGUGACGGUAAUGGGUAAAGAAGCACCGGCUAACUACGU
rnacentral:rRNA from 1 species